rnacentral:rRNA from 1 species
UGAGUACGAGAUGCUACGGCGUCGAAGCAGUCUAGGUCAUACUUCCAAGAAAAGCUUGCACUGUCAUAAACAAAGAAUGCCUGUACCAUAACCGACACAGGUGGGUAGGUAGAGUAUACUAAGGGGCGCGAGAUAACUCUCUCUAAGGAACUCGGCAAAAUGACUCCGUAACUUCGGGAGAAGGAGUGCCUUAUUUUUAAGGUUGCAAUAACAAGAUCCAAGCAACGGUUUACCAAAAACACAGGUCUCCGCUAAGUCGUAAGACGAUGUAUGGGGGCUGACGCCUGCCCAGUGCCAGAAGGUUAAAGAAGUUGGUUAGCAUUUGCGAAGCUGAUAACUGAAGCCCUGGUGAACGGCGGCCGUAACAAUAACGGUCCUAAGGUAGCGAAAUUCCUUGUCGGGUAAGUUCCGACCCUCACGAAAGGCGUAAUGAUUUGGAUACUGUCUCGGAGAGGGGCUCGGUGAAAUAGACUUGUCUGUGAAGAUGCGGACUACCUGCACCUGGACAGAAAGACCCUAUGAAGCUUUACUGUAACUUGAGAUUGAAAUUGGACUUUAUUUGCGCAGUAUAGGUGGGAGGCGUUGAGAAUAAUCUUGCGGGAUUAUCGGAGCCAUCAGUGAGAUACCACUCUUGUAAUGUUAGAUUUCUAACUUUGUAUCAUUACCUGGUCAAAGAACAGUUUCAGGCGGGCAGUUUGACUGGGGCGGUCGCCUCCCAAAGGGUAACGGAGGCGCACAAAGGUUUCCUCUGAACGGGUAGAAAUCGUAUCUAGAGUGUAAAGGCAUAAGGAAGCUUGACUGUGAGACCUACAAGUCGAGCAGGGACGAAAGUCGGUCUUAGUGAUCUGACGGUGCUGAGUGGAAAGGCCGUCACUCAACGGAUAAAAGUUACUCUAGGAUAACAGGCUGAUCUCCCCCAAGAGUUCACAUCGACGGGGAGGUUUGGCACCUCGAUGUCGGCUCAUCGCAUCCUGGGGCGGUAGUACGUCCCAAGGGUUGGGCUGUUCGCCCAUGAAAGCGGUACGCGAGCUGGGUUCAGAACGUCGUGAGACGGUUCGGUCCAUAUCCGGUGUAGGCGUUAAAUAUUGAAAGGAGCCUUCUCUAGUACGAGAGGACCGAGAAGGACAUACCUCUGGUGUGCCAGUUAUCGUGCCAACGGUAAACGCUGGGUAGCUAUGUAUGGAGUGGAUAACCGCUGAAAGCAUCUAAGUGGGAAGCCCACCUUAAGAUAAGCAUUCUCACC